AGCUGUUUUUGGACGAAGGAUGACUUCCCUUUUUGCUUCCAGUGUUUGUUUGUUUGUUUGUUUUAUUUAUAUUUGUUAUCUCUUCAGCAAUGAGCCAGCGUCCAUAUUAACCACGGCUGGUGUUUGAAGGAAGCUGCAGGUAGCAACUUUGGAAAAGCAGGGGCGGUUCUAGGAUCAACUAAAGGUGCCCCUUCUCCACAAAAGCCUGACGAACAUCAAGGAUAUGCACUGCCUAGCCAAAAAAGAAAGGUGUUUUGGCUGCAGGACUCUGAUCUCAGACAACUGGAGCUUCCCUGUGCUACGUCACAUCAGG